rnacentral:lncRNA from 1 species
UCCAGAACAGUUUUGGAAGCAGAUCCCUACACAAAGCACCCAUAAUCAAAAGCAGAUCUGAUCAUGUCCUGAAAAAUUUGCAACAUUGUCUCCCUAUUAGCCCCACACCCAGCCAGACUUCUCAUCACAUUCAAAACUUUUUCACACUGCAACACAGUUUUACCAGGUGCACGGCCCAAGUCAUACACUCUUCAAACCAAAUACCCAAAAAAGUUUAAAACAUUUACCUUCUCCAAUGGAGACUCAUACAUAUAUAACCCAGAUUAGGUAACUUUCUUUUAAAACCCAAAAUUAUAUAUUUUGUUUUAGAAGCAGAUAUUUUGAAGCCCCAUGUAUUUCCCCAUUCCUCUACAGAUAUGAACACUCUUUGUAUAGCUUUUAAAACAAGCCCUACGUUACACCCUCUUUUCCAAAUAGCCCUGUCAUCUGCAAAUAAAAAGAAACCUGAAUCCUCUCUCUAUUUUAUCAAAGAUAUAAUUUAUCAUUAUAUUAAAUAAAACUGGACUUAUUACACCAAAGACUUAAACUACUUCAGUCUAUGUGCAUUUUAUUUUCAUAAUACAAAAAGCUUCACAAUUUGAGUUACAUUACUGAAAUAAAUGAACUAUUCCACGACAUUCUAAUUUAUUGAGAUGCACCUUUAGUCAAGUAGACAAAUACAAAGACUGCAAAUGUGGGUAUUUGAACAAGGCUUCUGGGUAGAAAGUGAACCUCUUUAAUCCUGCCCAGGUUUAAUGAUUUUCAAGCUGUGCGCGCUUACUGAUUAUGUAAUAAUGAGUUAACAAGCUGUCCAGGUGGCACAAAUUGUUUUCUGUUUGGCUUUAAAAGUCCUGGUUUGGAUGGAACUAUAUGUAUAGUUUGGUCAUUUUGAGGUUAAGGUUGUAGUAAAGAAUGGAUAUGAUUAAAUUUACUCUUUUGGUGUUUCUUUAUCACCAGUUGCUAUGGCAAGGAAACGUCUGGAGUCAGGGUGAGCUGCCAGUUAACACCACGGCGCCAGAGCUUCAGGGGGACGAAUCGCCAGCUAACACCACGGCGCCAGAGCGUCAGGGGGACGAAUCGCCAGCUAACACCACGACGCCAGAGCGUCAGGGGGACGAAUCGCCAGCUAACACCACGGCGCCAGAGCGUCAGGGGACGAAUCGCCAGCUAACACCACGGCGCCAGAGCGUCAGGGGGACGAAUCGCCAGCUAACACCACGGCGCCAGAGCGUCAGGGGGACGAAUCGGCCAGCUAACACCACGGCGCCAGAGCGUCAGUGGGACGAAUCGGCAGCUAACACCACGGUGCCAGAGCGUCAGGGGGACGAAUCGCCAGCUAACACCACGGCGCCAGAGCGUCAGGGGGACGAAUCGGCAGCUAACACCACGGCGCCAGAGCGUCAGUGGGACGAAUCGGCAGCUAACACCACGGCGCCAGAGCGUCAGUGGGACGAAUCGCCAGCUAACACCACGGCGCCAGGGCCUCAGGAGGAUGAGACGGAGACCACUUCUAGUGCCACCACACAGUCUCAGGAGACUGAGACCACUUCAAACACUACCUAAGCCUUGUUGAAUAGGUUUUUUGUUUUUUUUGGUGCUGUCUAGCUGCUUUGUCAAAAGUUGACUAACAAAAUAAAAGUUAAUGGUUUGUCUUGUUCAAUGUCUUUCCAGAGUUGGAGCUGCUUUUAAUGCCAAUUCUUUCUCUUUGGGGGGGUCGCUUUAGCAGUUGACCAU